rnacentral:snoRNA from 2 species
AAGACUCUACUUUCAGGGAUCAUUUCUUUAGUCUGGAACUAGAGGAUUGUGUUUCUACAGAGGUUGGUCUGGCUGUCCAUGAUGAUGAAUGAAGAUGUUUCCUUCAGAGCAGGAAGCUGGUGAGGAGAUGAGAAUCUUCUUCACUGAUGAAGACUGUUCAGUGUUUCUGGAUGUGACACUGAAGGAGGAAACAUUGUCUGAGUGGA